rnacentral:rRNA from 1 species
AUGAUAUUGUGGAACCGAAGGAGAAAAGUAGCAAAGGAGUUAGAUGGUUUGAUUCUGCCCCACAUAAUUAAGAAGUUGAAUGCAAUGACCAGGGAAUUAAACUUGGAGGUGGUAGAAAGCUCAGAAGAAGUGGCUGAAGUAACUGCAUUAGGUGGUAGUGGCUUUAGGUUUGUGGUCAACUUGCAAGAGGGGACAUGUUCUUGUCGACAAUGGCAAGUUUCUGUCCAUCCUUGCAAACAUGCUCUUGCAUUCAUCACGUCACUUAGCAAUGCACACAUACGACACUAUGUGGACUUGUAUUUCUCCGUUGACAAAUAUAGAGCAGCUUAUGCCCAACUAAUUCCUGCUAUGCCGGACAAGACCCAAUGGCCUAAAUCUGACCAUGGAUUCUUCAUGCAUCCACCACUAUUGAAGGCCACGGCUGGUAGGCAUAAAACUGAGAGGUACAAAGGUUGCGGUGAGAAGAAAAGGAAAAGUGGUCAACACUUAUGCCCUAUUUGUAAGGAAUAUGGGCAUCAUUGGCACAAAUGUAAGAAGGGAAACCCAGAGGACAUUGCUGCAAUGAUGGCUGUGAGAGAACCACCAAAGAAAAUGACAAAGACAACCAAAACAACAAAGUUAUCCAUUGUGCCUUGCGAAGGAGUACCAACAAGAAUGUGUUUUCCCCCAAGCAAAAGCUUGGAAACUACAACCAAAAAAAGGGGAAACAUGUUAACUCUACUGCUGGAGCAUCAAAAAGCAAAAGCUUGA